rnacentral:snRNA from 1 species
GUUUCAAAGAGAUACAUAUACUAAAAUUGGAACGAUACAGAGAAGAUUAGCAUGGC